UACGUAGGUGGCAAGCGUUGUCCGGAAUUAUUGGGCGUAAAGCGCGCGCAGGCGGUCCUUUAAGUCUGAUGUGAAAGCCCACGGCUCAACCGUGGAGGGUCAUUGGAAACUGGGGGACUUGAGUGCAGAAGAGGAAAGCGGAAUUCCACGUGUAGCGGUGAAAUGCGUAGAGACGUGGAGGAACACCAGUGGCGAAGGCGGCUUUCUGGUCUGUAACUGACGCUGAGGCGCGAAAGCGUGGGGAGCAAACAGG
rnacentral:rRNA from 1 species